rnacentral:rRNA from 1 species
UACGUAGGGGGCUAGCGUUGUCCGGAAUCAUUGGGCGUAAAGCGCGUGUAGGCGGUCCGGUAAGUCCGCUGUGAAAGUCGGGGGCUCAACCCUCGAAUGCCGGUGGAUACUGUCGGGCUCGAGUCCGGAAGAGGAGUGUGGAAUUCCUAGUGUAGAGGUGAAAUUCGUAGAUAUUAGGAAGAACACCAGUGGCGAAGGCGGCUCACUGGUCCGGUACUGACGCUGAGGUGCGAAAGCGUGGGGAGCAAACAGG